CUCUCAUUGGGUAGCACUGCACUGACCAAAGCAAUAUCAAUCAUCAGGGCAAACUGCAAGGUUUCUGUUUAGGCUCCCAUGAUGCACAAAUGUUUGCAGAUGUUUAACUUCAUAUACACCAAGGAUAUGCAAAUGUGUCUUCAUUUAAAUCUGAAAAAUAGGAAAUACCUUGAUUUGUCCCCGAGAAAGCUGGGCAAAUCAAUGAACAGAUCAACAGAGGGUUUGAACAAUGCUGCAGAUUCUCUGCAAAGUCUGGACAUCUAGAGAAGUAGCUGGAAGAAAAUAGGAGAACCAAGCACCAUGUGACCAGUCAUCUCUCAAUGGACCACAGCUUGAGAAGUACUAUUCUAGUUUGAUCAAAAGGCAAAUUAACAUUAUGUUGAACGUCAGUGUGGGAUGCUGUGUGACUAAGAUGUGUCCUUGAGGACCCCCCUCUUCCACACCGGCGGAGCGCCUCCAUCAGAUAAGGCAGUGAUGUAGGAGGAGUAAGGAGGAUCUGUUUUGUGAGGUGCUGCAGUCAACAGAUGCAGCACAGAGUGGAACAAGAGUAUGGAGGGAGACAAUAAAUGAAAGAAUACAGCUGGAUAGCCAGGAAAGGUCACACAGGCAGGAGUGGAUGAUAAAGCUCCUUGAGGACCAGACAGACAUAUUGAAGUCCCUCGUUAGCCUGCAAUCACAGCAAAUCCAUGCCCAACACCCCCUCCAGCCACUACAGAAUUCCAGUCGAUGCCCUCCCAAACUGCCCCACUGCAUUGACCAUGUGUUACCAGUUCCUCAUACCACCCCAUACACUCCACGCCUGGGAACUGGUUUCCCAAUGAAAACUGGAGUUGCACCCAGCUGUGAGAGCCCUAACUGUGAGACUGUUCUUUGUCAUAUCCAUGUUUGACCAAAAGUUUGUGUUUGA